rnacentral:rRNA from 1 species
UACGUAGGGUCCGAGCGUUGUCCGGAAUUAUUGGGCGUAAAGGGCUCGUAGGCGGUCCGUCACGUCGGGAGUGAAAACUCGGAGCUCAACUCCGAGCCUGCUUCCGAUACGGGCAGACUAGAGGUAGGCAGGGGAGAGCGGAACUCCUGGUGUAGCGGUGGAAUGCGCAGAUAUCAGGAGGAACACCGGUGGCGAAGGCGGAUCUCUGGGCCUUACCUGACGCUCAGGUGCGAAAGCUAGGGGAGCGAACAGG